GUUGAACGUGGAUUCUCCAUCAAUAAAGAGGUGGAGUCAGAUAAUUUGCAUGAGGACACUGUGGUCACACGGAGGCUGGUGUGUGACUACAUUAUACAACAUGGAGGUGUUACCAAGGUUCCACUCAGUAAACCACUACUGACAAGUGUAGCAAGAGCAAGGACAAGGUAUCGUAUCCACCUUGAGAACGAAAGAAAGAAGAGGGAGGCAAAAGACCAGGCUCUCAAGAGGAAGGAGGCAGAGGACUGUCUGCAGGAGCUGAAGGUGAAGAGGAUACGCGUAAAGGAGGUAUCUGAGGGUCUGGCUAGGGAUGCGGACAGGCUGGCUGAGCAGGCUGAAGCAAAGGCAGGGAGCAAAAUGGCUGACCUGAUCUCCAGGUCCAACCUCCUGCGGAGAGGCCAUAAGGAGAAGUUGGCAGAACUGGCUCUCCUUGAUAAAGAGAUCGCUGCUAAAAGUGAAGAGCUUAGGAGUUGACUUUGAUCUUUAUUUUAUUUAUUGUUGAGUUGAUUUUCUUUGUUUGUUGUUCUGGAGUCUCUCUACUCCCCAUAUUCCCAGCAUGGAAUAAGCUAGCUAAUAAAUAGAUUUGUCACACCUC